rnacentral:rRNA from 1 species
ACUCCUACGGGAGGCAGCAGUGGGGAAUAUUGGACAAUGGGCGCAAGCCUGAUCCAGCAAUGCCGCGUGUGUGAAGAAGGCCUUCGGGUUGUAAAGCUACUUUUAUCAGGAACGAAAAGCGUUGGAUUAAUACUCUGACGUGCUGACGGUACCUGAGGAAUAAGCACCGGCUAACUUCGUGCCAGCAGCCGCGGUAAU